rnacentral:rRNA from 3 species
UACGGCCGCAAGGUUAAAACUCAAAUGAAUUGACGGGGGCCCGCACAAGCGGUGGAGCAUGUGGUUUAAUUCGAUGCAACGCGAAGAACCUUACCUACUCUUGACAUCCAGCGAAUCCUGUAGAGAUACGGGAGUGCCUUCGGGAACGCUGAGACAGGUGCUGCAUGGCUGUCGUCAGCUCGUGUUGUGAAAUGUUGGGUUAAGUCCCGCAACGAGCGCAACCCUUAUCCUUUGUUGCCAGCGGUUCGGCCGGGAACUCAAAGGAGACUGCCAGUGAUAAACUGGAGGAAGGUGGGGAUGACGUCAAGUCAUCAUGGCCCUUACGAGUAGGGCUACACACGUGCUACAAUGGCGUAUACAAAGAGAAGCGAACUCGCGAGAGCAAGCGGACCUCAUAAAGUACGUCGUAGUCCGGAUUGGAGUCUGCAACUCGACUCCAUGAAGUCGGAAUCGCUAGUAAUCGUGGAUCAGAAUGCCACG